UACGUAGGGUGCGAGCGUUGUCCGGAAUUAUUGGGCGUAAAGAGCUCGUAGGCGGUGUGUCGCGUCGGCCGUGAAAACCUGGGGCUUAACUCUGGGCGUGCGGUCGAUACGGGCAUCACUAGAGUUCGGCAGGGGAGACUGGAAUUCCUGGUGUAGCGGUGAAAUGCGCAGAUAUCAGGAGGAACACCGGUGGCGAAGGCGGGUCUCUGGGCCACUACUGACGCUGGAGAAGCGAAAGCAUGGGAGCGA
rnacentral:rRNA from 1 species